UACGUAGGGACCAAGCGUUGUUCGGAUUUACUGGGCGUAAAGGGCGCGUAGGCGGCAAUUCAAGUCAUCUGUGAAAUCUCCGGGCUUAACUCGGAACGGUCAGAUGAUACUGCUUUGCUAGAGUGCGGAAGGGGCAAUCGGAAUUCUUGGUGUAGCGGUGAAAUGCGUAGAUAUCGAGAGGAACACCAGUGGCGAAGGCGGCUCACUGGGCACCACCUGACGCUGAGGCGCGAAAGCGUGGGGAGCGAACCGG
rnacentral:rRNA from 1 species